AUUUAAGUAGUUUAAAAAAAAUAUAUAUUUGUGGUGUAUGAGAAGAAUUUUUUCCUUAAAUA
rnacentral:tRNA from 1 species